rnacentral:rRNA from 1 species
GAUGAACGCUGGCGGCGUGCCUAAUACAUGCAAGUCGAGCGAACAGACGAGGAGCUUGCUCCUCUGACGUUAGCGGCGGACGGGUGAGUAACACGUGGAUAACCUACCUAUAAGACUGGGAUAACUUCGGGAAACCGGAGCUAAUACCGGAUAAUAUAUUGAACCGCAUGGUUCAAUAGUGAAAGACGGUUUUGCUGUCACUUAUAGAUGGAUCCGCGCCGCAUUAGCUAGUUGGUAAGGUAACGGCUUACCAAGGCAACGAUGCGUAGCCGACCUGAGAGGGUGACCGGCCCCAGGAGAACUGAGCCACGGCCCAGCCUCCUGGGGGGGGCAGCAGUAGGGAUUCUUCAGCAGUGGGCGAAAGCCUGACGGACCACCCCCGCGUGAGUGAUGAAGUUUUUCGGAUCUAAAAACUUUUUUAUUGGGGAAAAACAAAUUUGUAAUUAACUGUGCCCGUCUUGACGGUACCUAAUCAAAAAGCCACGGCUAACUCCGUC